rnacentral:lncRNA from 1 species
GGAGGAGUUUUGGAUUGACUUCAACACUGGCAGCCAGAGUGUAACUUUCUAUGUGGAUUGUGAUGAGGUAACAGCAAAGGCCAAGUGGCCUUUGGGUUAGCCUAAGCCAGUGGGCAGUCCCUCAGCCCUUCUGACACAAUGGCUUUGGUUUUCAAAGGGAGCUCUUUGGGACUCUGUGAGGCUGUCAAAAGAAAAUGUCAACAGUUACAGUGUGAAGGAGAAGGAUAGAGAAAAGAUUGUUAAAAUUUUUAUGAAGAUACCCACUGCUCUUAACAAAACAGAAGCAACAAAAGUCAAACUGGUUUUCAGUGCCGAGUUUGAAAUAUUAAGUGUACUUAGAAAAGUCCUGGGAGAGGAAAAACUGAUGAUAGUUGAGUCUGAAGAUGAGACUGUCUAUGCUGGGAAGGAAGCCAUGCAGAAUGAAGCAGAAAUACCUGUACCCUCUAAUGCACAGAGGAAGAACUAUCCUUCAGACUCUGAGAAUGCAGAGACUCAAAAAGGCAACUUAACCUCUCACCACAGACAGCAGUUUGCAAGCACUGUAGUAAAAAUGGUCAACUCUGGUGUAUCCAUGGUUACAGUGGGCCAGCAGACUGACCUGGAG